CGCUGCGGCAUGCCUAACACAUGCAAGUCGAACGAGACCUUCGGGUCUAGUGGCGCACGGGUGCGUAACGCGUGGGAACCUGCCUUUAGGUUCGGAAUAACUCAGAGAAAUUUGAGCUAAUACCGGAUGAUGUCUUCGGACCAAAGAUUUAUCGCCGGAGGAUCGGCCCGCGUUGGAUUAGGUAGUUGGUGGGGUAAUGGCCUACCAAGCCGACGAUCCAUAGCUGGUUUGAGAGGAUGAUCAGCCACACUGGGACUGAGACACGGCCCAGACUCCUACGGGAGGCAGCAGUGGGGAAUCUUAGACAAUGGGGGAAACCCUGAUCUAGCAAUGCCGCGUGAGCGAUGAAGGCCUUAGGGUUGUAAAGCUCUUUCAGUGGGGAAGAUAAUGACGGUACCCACAGAAGAAGCCCCGGCUAACUCCGUGCCAGCAGCCGCGGUAAUACGGAGGGGGCUAGCGUUGUUCGGAAUUACUGGGCGUAAAGCGCACGUAGGC
rnacentral:rRNA from 1 species